rnacentral:SRP_RNA from 1 species
GCCGGGCAUGGUGGCUCAUGCCUGUAAUCCCAGCUACUUGGGAGGCUGAGGCAGGAGAAUCGCUUGAACCCAGGAGGCAGAGGCUGUGGUGAGCCAAGAUGGCGCACUGCACUCCAGCCUGGGCAAUAAGAGCGAGACUCUGUCUCAA